rnacentral:piRNA from 1 species
UACUAUUCCAUUUAAUCAUUG